GCGGUUUAAUACUAUGACGGCAGAUUGGCGGCAGAAACGUAACAGAUCCUGACGUACGCAGUCUGGCGGCAGAUUGACGACAGAAAUACAACAGAUUCUGCAGUGCGCAGUCUGGCACCAGAAUGACGGCAGAAACGUAACAGAUCUUGCUGUUCACAGCCUGACAGCAGACUGACAAAACGAGACAGCCAAUCAGAUUCACAAUGGUGUUUACC